CGUCAGCGUGCUGGCUUCACUCCACGCUGUUAAUUGCAUGCUAGAUUUCCGCGUGUUGUUUGUGUAGGUGCCGAGAGACGUGCUCAGAGAUUUGAUCAUGUCCAGAGAAUGUUGAGCAACACUUCCUUGACAGAGCAUUGUCAACUGCUGAGGGCAUGAACAUAUGAUCACUUUUUAAUGAACCAGGGAAGCGUCACGCACAAAACAACAUUUAAGCAGUAUAAACAAAGAGAGAGAAGAGAAUAUUGAUUAUUGGAUGUUUAUUAAAAGUGCUAGAUUCUAGUACGUUUCAAGUAUUUAGUACUCAUGUACAAAAGGUGUGUAUGAAAGUUUUGUUUUAUACGACUGUCGAGCUAGUCAACCUAGAUCUUCUUCUUGUUGAUUUCAGCCAGCAGAUGGCGGUAUUAAUAAUAAAACCUCAGAAUUGUUGACAUUCUGCAAGAAAAUUAAUAAUUAAACUAC